AUACGGAGGAUCCGAGCGUUAUCCGGAUUUAUUGGGUUUAAAGGGUGCGCAGGCGGCCAUUUAAGUCAGCGGUUAAAUCGUGGGGCUCAACCCCAUUCUGCCGUUGAUACUGGGUGGCUUGAUUGCGGUCGAGGUUGGCGGAAUUCGUUGUGUAGCGGUGAAAUGCAUAGAUAUGACGAAGAACACCGAUUGCGUAGGCAGCUGACCAGACCGCAAAUGACGCUCAUGCACGAAAGUGCGGGGAUCGAACAGGAUUAGAUACGCUGGUAGUCCGCACAGUAAACGAUGAAUACUUGUUUUCGGCGAUAUAAUGUCGGAGGCAAAGCGAAAGCGAUAAGUAUUCCACCUGGGGAGUACGCCGGCAACGGUGAAACUCAAAUGAAUUGACGGGG
rnacentral:rRNA from 1 species